UACGUAGGGUGCAAGCGUUGUCCGGAAUUACUGGGCGUAAAGAGCGCGCAGGCGGUCGUUCAAGUCGCGUGUGAAAGCCCCCGGCUCAACUGGGGAGGGUCACGCGAUACUGAUCGACUCGAAGGCAGGAGAGGGUAGUGGAAUUCCCGGUGUAGUGGUGAAAUGCGUAGAUAUCGGGAGGAACACCAGUGGCGAAGGCGACUACCUGGCCUGUUCUUGACGCUGAGGCGCGAAAGCUAGGGGAGCAAACGGG
rnacentral:rRNA from 1 species